GAAGCGUCUGGAAAGGCGCGCGAUACAGGGUGACAGCCCCGUACACAAAAAUACACAUAUUGUGAGCUCGAUGAGUAGGGCGGGACACGUGGUAUCCUGUCUGAAUAUGGGGGGACCAUCCUCCAAGGCUAAAUACUCCUGACUGACCGAUAGUGAACCAGUACCGUGAGGGAAAGGCGAAAAGAACCCCGGCGAGGGGAGUGAAAAAGAACCUGAAACCGUGUACGUACAAGCAGUGGGAGCACGCUUAGGCGUGUGACUGCGUACCUUUUGUAUAAUGGGUCAGCGACUUAUAUUCUGUAGCAAGGUUAACCGAAUAGGGGAGCCGAAGGGAAACCGAGUCUUAACUGGGCGUUAAGUUGCAGGGUAUAGACCCGAAACCCGGUGAUCUAGCCAUGGGCAGGUUGAAGGUUGGGUAACACUAACUGGAGGACCGAACCGACUAAUGUUGAAAAAUUAGCGGAUGACUUGUGGCUGGGGGUGAAAGGCCAAUCAAACCGGGAGAUAGCUGGUUCUCCCCGAAAGCUAUUUAGGUAGCGCCUCGUGAAUUCAUCUCCGGGGGUAGAGCACUGUUUCGGCA
rnacentral:rRNA from 1 species